rnacentral:rRNA from 1 species
GACCGGGUGAGUAACACGUGACUACCUACCCUUGAGUGGGGGAUAACCUCGGGAAACCGAGGCUAAUACCGCAUAAUAUCGAAAGAUCAAAGGAGUAAUCCGCUUUUGGAGGGGGUCGCGGCUGAUUAGCUAGUUGGUAGGGUAAUGGCCACCAAGGCGAUGAUCGGUAUCCGGCCUGAGAGGCGCACGGACACACUGGAACUGAAACACGGUCCAGACUCCUACGGGAGGCAGCAGUGGGGAAUUUUGCGCAAUGGGGGAAACCCUGACGCAGCAACGCCGCGUGGAGGAUGAAGUAUCUCGGUACGUAAACUCCUUUCGAUGGGGAAGAUAAUGACGGUACCCAUAGAAGAAGCCCCGGCUAACUUCGUGCCAGCAGCCGCGGUAAUACGUAGGGUGCAAGCGUUAAUCGGAAUUACUGGGCGUAAAGCGUGCGCAGGCGGUUUGCAAGACAGAUGUGAAAUCCCCGGGCUCAACCUGGGAACUGCAUUUGGUGACUGUAGAGCUGGAGUGCGGCAGAGGGGGGAUGGGAA